UACGAAGGGGGCGAGCGUUGUUCGGAUUUACUGGGCGUAAAGGGCGCGCAGGCGGCUCAUUUUGUCAGGCGUGAAAGCCCCGGGCUUAACCUGGGAACUGCGUUUGAUACGGAUGGGCUAGAGUUCGGGAGAGGAGAGUGGAAUUCCCAGUGUAGAGGUGAAAUUCGUAGAUAUUGGGAAGAACACCGGUGGCGAAGGCGGCUCUCUGGACCGAGACUGACGCUGAGGAGCGAAAGCCAGGGGAGCAAACGGG
rnacentral:rRNA from 1 species